GACGUAGGGCGCGAGCGUUGUCCGGAUUUAUUGGGCGUAAAGAGCUCGUAGGCGGCUUGUUGCGUCGACUGUGAAAACCCGUGGCUCAACCAUGUGGUCUGCAGUCGAUACGGGCAGGCUAGAGUUCGGUAGGGGAGAUCGGAAUUCCUGGUGUAGCGGUGAAAUGCGCAGAUAUCAGGAGGAACACCGGUGGCGAAGGCGGAUCUCUGGGCCGAUACUGACGCUGAGGAGCGAAAGCCAGGGGAGCAAACGGG
rnacentral:rRNA from 1 species